UUUUGUUUUAUACGUUGAGUUCUAUUUUAAUUAUAUGAAAUGUCUGGGAGAUUAUAUUUCAGGUUGGUACCUGAAUGACUGAGUCCCCAAAAUCAAGGAAUAAAAUUAAAAAGAUUAGGUUUGACUAAGCCGUAAAGAAAUCAGUGUUAGGGGAGACUGGGUACGAAUAAAACAGGUGGCGGUUGAAACAAGGUGAAUAUGUCAAGAACUGUAUGUCGUGCAAGAAAAGUUUCAAAAGAUGAUCGAAGCGGAAGACGAGUCCGAAUUUGAAUUUCAAUAGCCCGCCAAUCUUCGCGAACUACAGUUCCUUGUAGUAGGCCCUAUUGUUAUUUGGUGAGCAAAAAUGCCAGAGGAAUGUGCAAGAAAAACUUCGCUGGGACAAGUAGACUCGUCGGUAUACAUAUAUAGCAGCGUAAAAGUCAUAAUUGUGAUUCUGAAAAAAAAUUUUAUUAUUCAUUAUUUUAGAAU